CCUGCUUUUGCAUCAACUCUUUUGCAAUUACAGAAUUUUGCUGUUAUCAUACAGUAUACUGUCAUUCAACUCUCCUAACGGUUUUAAUGGUUCUGUUUGUGACUUAAAAAUAAAGCCGUUAAUAAGAUUGAUAUUUGUUGUUUGGCCAAUUAAAUAAAAAUAAUUGGACCACUAAAGGUUUUUUGGCAGUGAUCAACCCUUUCCUUAUAAAUUACUUUUGAUAAACUCUAAUUUUUAAUAUAAGUGAUACUUUCUUCCGUUGUGUGGAAGGAAAUGUUAAUGUAUUUAUUUAUUCAUCUCAAACCAGCACGAAUGUGACUUAUUAUUGUUAUGAAAUAAGACGUGCUACUGCCAGUGUUUUACUAGUAAUUCAGCACAUUUUAACGUCUUUUUGCAAACAACAAUGCAUUUUCUUAUACAAAGAAAUGCUGUUUGGUUCUGAGCCAAACCACACUCACCCCUGUUGUGAUGAACACCACUGUCAUCACAAAUGUGACCAGUGUGACUCCAACACCCGUGAUUUUUAGCAGUACAACCCCAGGCUGCUUUGCUUUUAAUGUUUCUACUUGUGAGGCCUGUGCACCGGGAUCCCGAUACGACAACAACACACUGCUGUGCACAUGUUGCCCCAAUCCCGGGCUGUGUCUAUUUCCUGGGGCCUGCCUGCCCUGUGACAGGGGCUUUUAUCAACCUCUGAUUGGACAGCAGCGCUGUCUACCCUGCAGUCAGGGCUUCUACACCAAUUUCACUGGAAGCCCUUUAUGUCAACCAUGCCCUGCAGGGUCCUUCAACAACAACACGGGUAGAGACAGUUGUACAAGUUGUUCACCAGGAUUCCAUUCGUCCCAGCAGAGUGCUACUUCUUGUUCACCAUGUUCUGUUGGACGUUUUUGCAACUCAUCUGGCUGCUCCGAGUGUCAAACAUGUCCUACUGGAACAGAAGCGCUGCAGGCAGCUGCUAAAGACUGCACUCCAUGUCGCCCAGGCAUGCAUAAGGCCCCUCAUCAGACCACGUGUCAGAUCUGUAGCAGUGGCUUCUACCAGAUCCACUGGGGACAGGAAAACUGUGAUUUAUGCCCGGAAAAUCACUACUGCCCAAGCCCAGAUGUGAACCCCAUCCAGUGUCCCAGUGAUGCUUUCUGUCCGAUGGGCAGCAUGGCCCCCGGGUACUGCAUGGAGACGUUCUUCCGUAAAGCAGGGGACACUUGUGAAUUGGCUCCUGUUACCAUUGCGUUUUUAGUCGUCGGUGGAGGGGUGGCUUUACUCUUCAUCGUUUUACUGGUUGUGCGUCGACGGAGAGAUCCAGACGCUGAGCUGGCGAGUGCUAGAGCUCCUCUUUUACGCAAAGUGAGACCUCAGGGUCGAAACUAUGGGCUGCCCUGUGACGCAGAGCCUGUCUACGCUGGCUGGUGAACCAUCAAAGACUAAAGAACUGCCAAUGAUCCUACAAUACAUGCAAUCUAGCAGAAGUUUCAUAUUUGUAUGAGCAGUGGUGGCUUUUUGAACAUAUAAUUGUUUGACUUGAAGAAAGCUGUUCCUUUUGUAUAUUGGUUUAUUGGAUUCUGAAAAGCGUGUUAUAACACAUGGAAAAACAACGAGAUGCAUGUCUCAAUGUGGUGGGAACCUGUUACACUUUUAUUCCUGAGGUAAUGGAUUCACUUUGCAUUCAUACUGUAUGUUAGUGGACUGCUGUGUGUGACCAGUUUCUUUGUGAACUUCUCGUGCUAUUUUUUAAAAAUGUUUUUGUUCUAUUGUAAGUAAUGUUUUUUUUGUAGUUUUGUUGAUAUAUUUGGGCAAUGGUUGGUUUUCUUGUGCUUUUAAGGGGGGCACAUGUAAAGGAAAAUAGACAGAUCAUUGUAUUUUCUAAUGGUUUUGUAAUUAAUGCAACAAUUUUUGACAACCUCUCUCAAUGUCCCAAAAACAAGCAUGAAUAGCCCUAUUUGUAUUACUUUACUG
rnacentral:lncRNA from 1 species